GAAUCUUCCGCAAUGGACGAAAGUCUGACGGAGCAACGCCGCGUGAGUGAAGAAGGUUUUCGGAUCGUAAAACUCUGUUGUCGGAGAAGAACAAGUAGGAGAGUAACUGUUCCUACCUUGACGGUACCCGACCAGAAAGCCACGGCUAACUACGUGCCAGCAACCGCGGUAAUACGUAGGUGGCAAGCGUUGUCCGGAUUUAUUGGGCGUAAAGCGAGCGCAGGUGGUUUCUUAAGUCUGAUGUGAAAGCCCACGGCUCAACCGUGGAAGGUCAUUGGAAACUGGGGAACUUGAAUGCAGAAGAGGAGAGUGGAAUUCCAUGUGUAGCAGUGAAAUGCGUAGAGAUUUGGAGGAACACCAGUGGCGAAGGCGGCUUUCUGGUCUGUAACUGACGCUGAGGCGCGAAAGCGUGGGGAGCAAACAG
rnacentral:rRNA from 1 species